UUAGGACGUGGAUACCCCCGAGAAAUUGGGGUUAAUCCGCGAUAGGUGUAAUGUCCUGGAAUGGUAUUACGCCUAAAGGUGUAUCAUACAUGUUUGAUAUACGCCUAAGGAUGGGGCUGCGGCCGAUCAGGCUGUUGGUGAGGUAAUGGCUCACCAAACCUUUGACCGGUACGGGCCAUGAGAGUGGUAGCCCGGAGAUGGACACUGAGACAAGGGUCCAGGCCCUAAGGGGCGCAGCAACCGCGAAACCUCCACAAUGCACUCACGUGCGAUGGGGCUAUCUCGAGUGCCACCUGAUGAAGGUGGCUUUUCCUAGGUCUUCAAAGCCUUGGGAAUAAGAGGGGGGCAAGACUGGUGUCAGCCGCCGCGGUAACACCAGCCCCUCGAGUGGUGGGGAUGAUUAUUUGGCCUAAAGCGUCCGUAGCCGGCCGAGCAAGUCUUCCGUUAAAUCCAGCGUCUCAAGCGUUGGACUGCGGGAGAUACUACACGGCUAGAGAGUGGGAGAGGUCAGCGGUAUUCUGGGGGUAGGGGCGAAAUCCUUUGAUCCCCGGAGGACCACCAGUGGCGAAGGCUGCUGACUAGAACACGUCUGACGGUCAGGGACGAAAGCUGGGGUAGCGAACCGGAUUAGAUACCCGGGUAGUCCCAGCCGUAAACGAUGCAUGCUAGGUGUUGGGUUGGCCACGAGCCACCCCAGUGCCGCAGGGAAGCCGUUAAGCAUGCCGCCUGGGAAGUACGAUCGCAAGAUUGAAACUUAAAGGAAUUGGCGGGGGAGCACCACCAGGCGUGAAGCCUGCGGUUUAAUUGGAGUCAACGCCGGG
rnacentral:rRNA from 1 species